AUACGUAGGUGGCAAGCGUUGUCCGGAUUUACUGGGCGUAAAGGGAGCGUAGGCGGACCUUUAAGUGAGAUGUGAAAUACCCGAGCUCAACUUGGGUGCUGCAUUUCAAACUGGAGGUCUAGAGUGUCGGAGAGGUAAGCGGAAUUCCUAGUGUAGCGGUGAAAUGGCGUAGAGAUUAGGAAGAACACCAGUGGCGAAGGCGCUUCUCUGGACUGUAACUGACGCUGAGGCUCGAAAGCGUGGGGAGC
rnacentral:rRNA from 1 species